CUUCAGUCAACGCUUGUAGGUGAGAUAAUUAAGAAGAAUGUCACUCAAUAUGGAUAUGAGCAUUUUUUUUUUUAAGGAUUAUUAAAAAAAAGGGAAUUUAUAACUAGUCUGCUGUUGCUACUAAAUUUGGUCAGUUGUCUCACUGCCUCUGGACUGCUGCCCCGCACCAUUCUACUGAGGCUCGGACUACCUUUCCAUUUGAAAUCCAUAACGACAGAUGCCAAUGACCAAAGGAACCCCAGUUACAGACCUGUUGAAAGAGCUCCAGUGGCCUUUGGUGAGGGUGGUGGUAGAAGGGGUCCACACCGACGCAGAGUGGGGCCUGCCCUGGGGGCUUGGUUCUGGGAGACUGAGCCACUGAGCCUUCCCUCCCUUGGUAAAUGAAGGCCUGGAGGGCAUGCGGCCAGCGGGCCACCUGGCCAGGGAAGGAGCGGGACAGGGGAGCAGUGGUGAUUAAUGCCCUGUGUUUAGGGUGCCGUCAUCGGGAGGGAGACGGACGAGGGCUCAGCAUGAUGGAUGAGGGCUGGACCAGGGGCUGAUAAGACAUGGCCCAUGAAUCUGUUCUACAUCAUCGGCUCCUUUGAUCACUGACAGAAGUUCAGAGAUGGGCCUGUGCAUCUGUCUAAACAAACAACCCCCCACACACCACACACACACACACACACACACACACACACACACACACCAUGGCACUGGCACUGGCUCUCAGGUUAACACUCA
ensembl:lncRNA